CUCUGUAAAGCUCUUAAUCAGAUCUCACGACCGAUUAGCCCAAAUGUAUUUUCAGUUUCCAGAGUUAAUCAUCCUUGAGGACCAGGAGUUAACAAUGAGAAUGGGGGACGUGUCCUUGUUCCUGUCUUUUGGGGUAGACUUAUUUUGCAAAGCAAAAGUGGUUUCCCAGAAGAUGCAAUCUAGAAUUUUAAUGUUUACUUUCUAAAUGCUGGUGGGAUUGCUAGCUUCUUCUCAUCUCUGCGCCCUUAUCCUACAGCCCAAAGGGUAGAACCACAGGUAAAAUAGUGGGGAUGAAAAAGAGAAUGUCAGAGCGCCCCCACUGGCUGCCUGAGGGAAAGCACCCAAGGGGAUGUUUCCAGAAACAACCCAAGUAACAAGACUCCAGAAGAAAACACAUCAUUUCCGGGAGGGAGGCGUGAGGGGGUGUAGAGAAGCCAGGAGUGCUAUGCUGAGCUCCUUUCAGAAAAAAGAAAACAUCAAGAGGAAGACUGAGUCUCCCUGACACACAUCAGGACAGCAUACCAAGGGCCAGACUGGAAAUGCCUUCCCGUUACAGCCACAGACCUGCAGGUGACCUAGUUCAAGUUUCAGAAAGCAUGGGAGGCAUACCUGACCUACCGAAGGAAAGGCAAGAAGACUACAGUUGAUCACCCGCCAGCUUCUCAUAACCUCCCCCCAACACACACCACAGACCUUCAUCACUGGCCUCAUGUUCAAGGCCCUUCGGCACCAUGGCCGGAUGCCCGGUUCUGGGUGAAGUUGGGGGUGAGUCCCUUGCCGUGGCCCCUCACCUCUCCAUUUCCACCUCCUGUGACACCCAUAUCCUCCAGCCUUAUCAAGAAGCCAGAAAUGGAAUCUCCCUACUUGGAUGUCUCCGUCAGUAGGGAGUUCUGGCCAGAAAAUAAAAGAUGGAGGAAUGUGACCGCAAGCAAAGGCCUACCCAAACCUUCAUGCUAGAGGGAAAGAAGGUCCAGCAUCUCAAAAUGUGCAGACCCCUGAAUAAACAUAUCUAAUGUGAAAGAUCAUAGGAACAAGCAGAAAUUUGUGUCCUUUCUAGUUUUUUUUUAAUGUUAUGUUUU
rnacentral:lncRNA from 1 species